ACGUAGGCAGCAAGCGUUGUUCGGAAUUACUGGGCGUAAAGAGUGCGUAGGCGGUUCGUCAAGUCUGGUGUGAAAUCUCCCGGCUCAACUGGGAGGGUGCGCCGGAAACUGGCGGACUAGAGUGUGGGAGAGGAAAGUGGAAUUCCUGGUGUAGCGGUGAAAUGCGUAGAUAUCAGGAGGAACACCGGAGGUGAAGACGGCUUUCUGGACCAUAACUGACGCUGAGGCACGAAAGCGUGGGGAGCAAACAG
rnacentral:rRNA from 1 species